rnacentral:lncRNA from 1 species
AUGUAUUUAUGCAUAAUGGGUCAGGGGCUUUCCAGUGUCCAUUUUGGAAAGGAACCUACAACUCCCAUCUCCAUCUUUCCAGUGUCCAUUUUGGAAAGGAACCUACAACUCCCAUCUCCAUCUUUCCAGUGUCCAUUUUGGAAAGGAACCUACAACUCCCAUCUCCAUCUUUCCAGUGUCCAUUUUGGAAAGGAACCUACAACUCCCAUCUCCAUCUUUCCAGUGUCCAUUUUGGAAAGGAACCUACAACUCCCAUCUCCAUCUUUCCAGUGUCCAUUUUGGAAAGGAACCUACAACUCCCAUCUCCAUCUUUCCAGUGUCCAUUUUGGAAAGGAACCUACAACUCCCAUCUCCAUCUUUCCAGUGUCCAUUUUGGAAAGGAACCUACAACUCCCAUCUCCAUCUUUCCAGUGUCCAUUUUGGAAAGGAACCUACAACUCCCAUCUCCAUCUUUCCAGUGUCCAUUUUGGAAAGGAACCUACAACUCCCAUCUCCAUCUUUCCAGUGUCCAUUUUGGAAAGGAACCUACAACUCCCAUCUCCAUCUUUCCAGUGUCCAUUUUGGAAAGGAACCUACAACUCCCAUCUCCAUCUUUCCAGUGUCCAUUUUGGAAAGGAACCUACAACUCCCAUCUCCAUCUUUCCAGUGUCCAUUUUGGAAAGGAACCUACAACUCCCAUCUCCAUCUUUCCAGUGUCCAUUUUGGAAAGGAACCUACAACUCCCAUCUCCAUCUUUCCAGUGUCCAUUUUGGAAAGGAACCUACAACUCCCAUCUCCAUCUUUCCAGUGUCCAUUUUGGAAAGGAACCUACAACUCCCAUCUCCAUCUUUCCAGUGUCCAUUUUGGAAAGGAACCUACAACUCCCAUCUCCAUCUUUCCAGUGUCCAUUUUGGAAAGGAACCUACAACUCCCAUCUCCAUCUUUCCAGUGUCCAUUUUGGAAAGGAACCUACAACUCCCAUCUCCAUCUUUCCAGUGUCCAUUUUGGAAAGGAACCUACAACUCCCAUCUCCAUCUUUCCAGUGUCCAUUUUGGAAAGGAACCUACAACUCCCAUCUCCGUUUGUCCUCAUUGUUCAGAUUAUUCUAAUUCAAUCAUGAAGUGUUUAGAGAGUGAUUAG